AAACCAACCGGGAUUGCCUCAGUAACGGCGAGUGAAGCGGCAAAAGCUCAAAUUUGAAAUCUGCGUAAGCCGAGUUGUAAUUUGAAGAUGGCUACUUUGGUAAUGGCUCUUGUCUAUGUUCCUUGGAACAGGACGUCACAGAGGGUGAGAAUCCCGUGCGAUGAGAUGUCCAUUACCGUGUAAAGUGCUUUCGAAGAGUCGAGUUGUUUGGGAAUGCAGCUCUAAGUGGGUGGUAAAUUCCAUCUAAAGCUAAAUAUUGGCGAGAGACCGAUAGCGAACAAGUACAGUGAUGGAAAGAUGAAAAGAACUUUGAAAAGAGAGUGAAAAAGUACGUGAAAUUGUUGAAAGGGAAGGGCUUGAGAUCAGACUUGGUAUUUUGUAUGGCUUGCUUUCGGGCGGGUCCUCUGCAGUUUACUGGGCCAGCAUCGGUUUGGGUGGCAGGAUAAUAGCAUAGGAAUGUGGCUCUACUUCGGUGGAGUGUUAUAGCCU
rnacentral:rRNA from 1 species